rnacentral:rRNA from 1 species
CAGAUCCUUCGGGUGACGAACUUCCGGAUUAGCGGCGAACGGGUGAGUAACGCGUGAGGAACCUGCCUCUCACAACGGGAUAGCCUCGGGAAACCGGGAUUAAUACCGUAUGACACUAUCAGAUGGCAUCAUCAGAUAGUUAAAGUGCUAGCGGUGAGAGAUGGCCUCGCGUCUGAUUAGUUAGUUGGUGGGGUAACGGCCUACCAAGACGACGAUCAGUAACCGGCCUGAGAGGGUGAACGGUCACAUUGGAACUGAGACACGGUCCAAACUCCUACGGGAGGCAGCAGUGGGGAAUCUUGCACAAUGGGGGGAACCCUGAUGCAGCGACGCCGCGUGAGCGAUGAAGGUUUUCGAAUCGUAAAGCUCUGUCCUAUGGGAAGAUAAUGACGGUACCAUAGGAGGAAGCCCCGGCUAACUACGUGCCAGCAGCCGCGGUAAUACGUAGGGGGCGAGCGUUGUCCGGAAUUACUGGGCGUAAAGGGUUCGCAGGCGGCAUGACAAGUCCGAUGUAAAAGGCGAAAGCUCAACUUUCGUAAGCAUCGGAAACUGUCAAGCUUGAGUGAAGGAGAGGCAAGUGGAAUUCCUAGUGUACGGUGGAAUGCGUAGAUAUUUAGGAGGAAUACCGGUGGCGAAGGCGACUUGCUGGACUUCAACUGACGCUGAGGAACGAAAGCGUGGGUAGCAAACAGGAUUAGAUACCCUGGUAGUCCAUGCCGUAAACGGUGGGCGCUAGGUGUAGGGGGCUUCCACGUCUUCUGUGCCGUAGCUAACGCAUUAAGCGCCCCGCCUGGGGAGUA